UACGGAGGGGGCUAGCGUUGUUCGGAAUUACUGGGCGUAAAGCGCACGUAGGCGGACUGUUAAGUCGGGGGUGAAAUCCUGGGGCUCAACCUCAGAAUUGCCUCCGAUACUGGCAGUCUCGAGUGCGGGGAGAGGUGAGUGGAAUUCCCAGUGUAGAGGUGAAAUGCGCAGAUAUCGGGAAGGAACGACCAGUAGCGAAGGCGGCUCGCUGGGCCACACCUGACG
rnacentral:rRNA from 1 species